GUCCACAGACGCAGACUGGCCCGGAUAAUCCACCACUGGCUGUGAGCUUCGCCACACUCCUCCCUUCUUCCCCACCUCGCCCUGGCGCGCUCACCCCUACGUGGGAGAGCUCAGGUACGUAGUUGGAUGGGAUGUCCUGUGAGAAGGCAUGCAGAUAACAGAAAUGUGAGGCAAAAGAGCAAGAAAGAGGUAAGAGUAGAAGUGAAAUUUCAUCAUACUUAGGGCAGCUGUAACUAACAUGUGCCAUAAUGUUUUAGUUUUUGUUCUUUUCUUUAGUUGACUGAGAUUUCACAUUUGAUUAUUUCAUGUAAGUUAGAGUGUGAUGGUGGCAGAUUGAAAAACUUUGUAAUCAAAUAUAUUUAUUAAUUAAACAAAAUAAUAACCCCCAAAAAAGCAUGUUAGUGUAAUUGUACCCAUUCUAAGAAUGCAGGAUCAAGUGAGAGAAAUCUGAUUAAAACACAUUUUCUUUUCUUUAGUUUUUGGUAUUCUGUUUCUCCAGUUGCUAAUCAGCAAGAAUAUCUUUGUCCUACUGAACUGAGGCAUUUGUUCAAAAGCCUUUGCGCUCUUUGGCAUAAGAGCCUGACUUAUUAAAGACAAAGUUCUCCUAGGUCUCUGCUAAAAAAUAGUGAAAUAAAUAUUUUUAUAAACAUAUUAUCUCAAAGUAUUAAUGCUGGAAGAGACCUACAGGACCAAAGACAGCUCCCUCCCUUUACAGAGAGAAGAAGGUUGAAACAGCAAUGAUUAUGAAAAAUUUCCUUAUGUUUUCAUAACUAAUAUUUUCAUCAUAAAGCUCACGACAUGCACUUGUUUUUAUUUGUAUGCCUGAAUUUUGGUGGCUCUGAACCAUAUAUGAUGGCUCUGAGGACAAACCAUAUUUGUUUCCUGCCCUGCAAUGUUGGCAGUGUGCCAUGUACUUCCUUGGUAGUGAGUAAUCAUUUUUCAACUACCUAAAAGUCUCUCUUUUGAUGAGAAGAAGAAUAAACCUCAUUCUUGUUCAGAUGUAGCGAUCAAGGAAAAGACUUCUGUCUUAUUGGCUUCAGAUAUGUUAUCAGCACCUAAAGAAUGGAAAGCUGCAUUAAAGGAGGCUUCCCUUGGGAAGAGAGAGAGAGACAGAGCGUGAACAGGGGAGGGAAAGAGAGAGAGGGAGACACAGAAUCCAAAACAGGCUCGAGGCUCUGAGCUGUCAACACAGAGCCCGAUGCGGGGCUCGAACUCACGGACCACGAGAUCGUGACCUGAGCCGAAGUCGGAUGCUUAACCGACCGAGCCACCCAGGCACCCUUGUGAGGCAUUGCAUGUGGCCCUGAGGAUGUAAAGUUGAAUAAGGAUGUUCCUGCCUUUCAAAUGCCAAUAAUCCUUGGAGAAGAUAUGCAAACAUGUGAACACUAUACAAUAUGAUAUGCAUGCCCUUCAAGGUAAGUGAGAAGGUUUAAGUACAAUCGAGUGGUCAGUUUCACUUGAGGGGAGGGCUGUAAUCAGGGAAGAUUUCCCAGGGAAAAGUUUGGUGCAGUGGGUAUAAACAUUUUUCGGAGAGAUAAGGAAGAAUCAAGGCAUCUAAGACAGAGGGAAGACUGUGUACAAGGGCAGAGGGACCUGUGACGACAGAGUACAGGGAAGAAGCUACAGUCGGGCAGAACUAAAGCGUGGGGCACAUGAUAAAGUGCCUGUUAUUUGUCAUGGCAAAUGGCAGUAGGAGCCUAAGUUUCCUCCAAACAGUUAACUUAUUCUUAUACCCUAAGAUAGACAUUAACAGAAGCUCGCAGAACCAGAAAUCAAUGCACGUGUAAGUGACCUAAAAGGUAUUUUGUCCAGUGUAGUUGUUGACUUUGCCUGACCCAAAGGACUUGAGUUGGGAGCACAUAGGCCUAGAGUAGCUGACAGCCAUCUUGUGACACACGGGGCCUGAAAGCAGAGCCAGUUUAUAGGAACAUAAGAGAGAGAUGGGAGAAAAUUAGAUCCUGGUGACAUUAUUCAAGCCGCUGGAUUAAGCCACACCUGAAACAGGUGCAUUUCUAAAUUCUUCAGUUACAAGAGAUAAGUCAGUUUGCAUUUUUUGCUGAAGUCAGUUUGAUACAUAUAUAUAUAAUAUAUAUGUAUAAAUGUACAUAUAUAUGUACAUAUAAAUUAUAUGCAUGUAUAUAUUUUUGGUCAUUUGCAACCUAAUAGAUAUAUUUGGCCUCUUAAUUUACAGUUCAGGAGACUAAUUUUCAGUAUGCUAAAGUGACUCACUAUCAAGUGGUUAGUCAAAAACUGAGACUAAAACUCAGGUCUCUUGACUCAGAGGCCAGAUUUAGGAAUAUCCAGCAUUUAAAAAGCAUAUGCUUGUGAAGGCCUAAAUAAACAUGUAUCUAGAGAUCUGUUUUGAGAGAACCACAUAUUUGAGAGUGUGACUGAGUUUAGUUUUAAAAUGACAUUUCCAAGUGACAACGUUGCAGAAAGUGCAUCGCUUCAUGGUCUACUUGCCACUAAUCAUCAUUGUGACCUUGGGUGUAUCUCUGGGCCUGUGUUGCUCAUGGGAUGUAAUUAUCUUUAAUUCCUCUUCCAUUUCUAUGAUUUGAAGAAGAAGUACACUCAAUGUUCAAUUACCCGUGGUGAAUCUUACAUAUUCCUACAUACUCUGGGCUAAUCUUCCUUCUGGAUUAUUUUUGAUAUUAUUGGGUUCAAUGCCACAAAUAUUUACUGAACACUGAUCAUGGGCUAGGGGUUGCAAAAGAGAGUAGUUAUUUCUAGUCAGUAUUACUUACAUACUUUGUAUUCUCAGAUGCAAUUUGAUAUUGUUUGUAGCCCCAAACAGUCCAGGGAACGUGUGAUCCCAAACAAGAGCAGGGUUAGAGAGAGGGCUCGGCUUGACUCUGUGCAUCAGUAGGAGAAGUGAGGCUGUUGUCGGCACUCAGAGGGAGGCAUAGAGCAGAGUCCUGAGGAACACAGGCAGGUUGGAAAUACAUUUCUGUCUGAAACAGAAUUGGGGUUGAAUCAUAAGUCUUUAGAAGAUCAGCACCAUACCUAUCACUGUGGAUACCUUUGGGUCCUCUAAAAAAAUUUUUUUUAACGUUUAUUUGUUAUUGAGAGAGAGAGAGACAGACAGAGCAUGAGCAGGGGAGGGGCAGAGAGAGAGGGAGACACAGAAUCCAAAGCAGGCUCCAGGCUCUGAGCUGUCAGCCCAAAGCCGGACGUGGGGCUCAAACUCACAAACCGUGAGAUCAUGACCUGAGCCGAAGUCAGACACUUAAGCGACUGAGCCACCCAGGAAACCCACCUCUGGGUCCUUUAAGAGUGGUUGUCUCCAAGUUUGGGAACAAUUUACGAACAAUUUUCUUUGUAUGAUAUUAUAAGCACUUAAUUGGCUGAUGAACUCUUUUGGAUAAUUUUUUUUUUGUCAUAUAGCAAUUAAUGUGAUCCACCCAAGUAAUUUUUUAGCUUGUAGUCCAUUUCUUAGCCCGUCCACAAACAGUUCUGUCAGCUGCACAGUGACCCGGAGUUCUGCAGCCCCACCUGAGUCUGGGGAAGGGGCAAAGACGCCGGCUGGGCAGCUUGCUGGAGCCAGGUGCUGUCUCCUCUCUCACCACGUUGGCCUGUGUGACCCUGCACACGUGAUUGGCUCCCAGUAGUGCCUUCAAGUUAAAAUCCAAGAUCCUGAGCAUGGCCUCACAGAAUCCUUCACCAGCUGGCCAUUUCUCUAGCCUCAAUUCGUCUCUCACCAUGAUGCUGGCCUUGGCUUCCGGGUAUUCUGUCUGCAUUCACGUGGAACUAUCUGGAGGUUAGGGAGUUGAGACCUGGAAAGAUGAAAAGUGAUUUUCCCGAGCGCCUAGAUCAUUGUCCUCUUCAGCAUCACAGUAGCAAACAUUUGCUUGCCUAGUGCCAACUACCGAUCUAGGCACUUCCCACGUAAUUACUGUUGCUGGAGAGAGGUUGGAGCUAUGGCUGCUGGACUAAGUUGAGAGAUACCACGAAAGAGAAGAGGAUCCCGAGAGAUGUUGCAAGUUCUGACAGGUAGCAGCUUCACCUAUGGGGAGACAGGCUGGUUGUAAACCAGAAAACAGGUCAGGAACUCCUGAAAACUCUGCCCAUACAUUGUGAAGAACUUCCUGAGGAAGUUUCCUAAAUUGGACACCAAGUAUGAAGCGGACCCCUGGUGCCGGAUCUUGGUGUGCAAAAGAGGCAACUUGGACACAGAGACGGUGCAGAGAUGGCCAUGUGAAGACACAGACACACAAGGAGAAUGCCAUGUGAAGAAGGAGACAGAGGUUGGACUGAUGUUUCUCUAAGCCAAGGAAUGCCAAGAAUUCCUGACCAUCACGAAGCUAGGACAGAGGCAUGGAGCAGAUUUCUCUCAGCGCCCUUAGAAGAUACAUCUUAACCGUCUAUUAUGGGUACGAAUUAUUGUCAAGAGAUGGAGAAGUAUAUAGUCUUGUGUGCCUCUUUGUCACGUGUCAAUACUGGAAAAGAAACUGAUCAUUAUUGGAAGAAGGAAGAAAAUACAGACGGAUGACAGAGAGAGGUAGAGGUCUGAGACUUCUAAAUGUGAUCAGAAGAAACAGUCAAAUAUUACUGAGCUUCUUUGUCCAAAGCUGUUUUGACCAGACCUUCCCCUCAGCUGCCUGUACUGAAUGCAUGAAUAGAAUCGCUUCCAGAUCUUUACAACAUUGUGCUGGUGAAUACAGACUAAUUACCCAGUUGAAUGAUUUCAUGAAAAUAGCUGCUUCAACCUGUUAUGGUCAUUACAAAAAUUACACGCAUUGUACAAUGGAAUAUUAUUCGGCCCUUACAAAGAAAGAAAUCCUGCCAUUUGUGACAAAUGGUCAAACUCUAGGUGACUGCAGCAUUGGCUGACAGCAAGACUGAAACCUCCUGUGAGACCCUGAACUCCUGUGAGAUGCUGAACUACUCAGAAUACUGAGGAUACUUGGAUGAAGAUGCCCAAAGUUCCAGAAAAGAUCUCGUGUUUCAUUUUGACAAGAUCCUGGAGUGUUACCAACCUAGAGGCACAUUUAAUUAAAUAUAUUUGUUUUCAUGUUCCAGAGCUUCCCAGAGUGCAUGCUGAUGAAGCACCAUGAGGGCUGUUUCCACCGCCUCUGUAUCUUCAAGAAGACUGGGUCAAUCCUGUUCAUCAGGGCAAUUCCUAGAGCUGGUUUCUGCAGUAUAGGCAUCAAGAGCAAUAGAUCUCCUCUAAGUACUACAUUGGCAGCAUCCCUGUAGACUCUCGUAAUUUUUUCUGUUGCAUCUUAAAUGUCUCCCCAACCAAAAGUUUAUUUAAGAAGAAUUUACUCUCCUGAAUGCAAUAGGAAAAAGAGCUGAAAAAGAGGUACAACUAGAGGAAGGAAAUGGCAUACGAUAAAAUGAUCAGUUGUUGAUAUUAUGAUGUUUCACCCAAGAUAAUAAAUGAAAAUUAGUCAACACUUAGUUAAAGUGAAGAGAUGUAAAAUAAAUAUUACCAAAAUGAUUCCUUUCUUCCUUUGUACUAAGAAUUAGAAAACAAAACAGUAGGCAGACCCCAUACACGAUAACAACUAUAAAAAUAAAUCAUCCUAAAAUUCGUUUACCAAUAAAUACGCAGAAAGUAUAUGAAAACUACAAGAUUUACUACGAGUUAUAAAAAGACAAUGGGGCACCUGGGUGGCUUAGUUGGUUAAGCUUCCUACUUCAGCUCGGGUCAUGAUCUCACAGCUUGUGAGUUUGAGCCCCAUGUUGGGGUCUGUGCUGACAGCUCAGAGCCUGGAGCUUGCUUUGGAUUCUGUGUGGAGACACAGACACUCUAUCUGCCCCUUCCCUGCUUGUGCUCUGUUUCUCUCUCAAAAAAAUAAAUAAACAUCAAAAAAAUAAAAAUAAAAAGACAAGAAAAUAAGUAGACAUAUCAUGCUCAUGCAUGAAAAGACUCAAUGUUGUAAAGAUGUGUAUCUUUUCCUGUUAGUUUAUAUCCUUAGUGUAAUGUCAGUCAGAAUCUCAAUGGAACAGUUUGGAAAAUAUGCCCAAAUGAUUCUGAAACUCAUCUGGGGAAAUAAAUGGCAAUAAUUUGUCCUACUUCUCUUCCUGGUGGGGGUGGAGGUCUGGGCUGGGUGAGGAGUGGAGAUGGGAGGAAGGUGAGGUGGUGGUCUAGGUGUAGAGGACCAGCCAUCACCGGGGUUGUCUUGAGGCCCACUUGAAAAAUGGACAAGGGCAACUCCUGGAAAAGAUUUUGGGCACUUCCCACUGAGAAAUGAGUGCAUUUUGGUCAUUCAACAAAUAUUCCUUGAACAUCAGGCGUGAUUCUAGGAACCAGGGAUGGAGCAGUGGGCAAAACAAAGUCCCGCCCUUGGGAAAACUUAGGUUUUAUUUGGACAAGGGUGACAGUUGACUUGGGUUUCGCUGGAUGAUUCUUCAGCCUUAUAAGGGAGACCUGGAAACACCUACCAAGAUCCUAAUGGACUAAAUUAAAGAUUCUUGAACUGUUUGUCUUGAAGAACUGGUUGUUUUUAUUUCCAAUCCAUGGCAGACAUACUUUUGGACAUAUAGAAUCUUUUGCUUGGAUGAUAUGGGACUACUAAAGGUUUCUACACACUCUCAAUUUUUGUCUUUAUCUCACCCAGGGGCCCUUGGGCAACACUGAGUAGCACUGAAAUAAAAGACCUCAGAAAAUGUCUUGUGGAUAGGCUUUCCUAAAGACAAGCCAGUUUCUAAUGCAACUUGGCUAUGGCAGCCCAUUUUCCUUCAUUCCAUUGGCAUUUCCCAGUUGUUCCCCUUCAUUCACACAAGAGUACUCAGAUUUAUAAAAGUUACAGUCCCUCUACCCUUCAAACCUGGUCACCAUGGCAGGGGCAUGAAAGAUGCCAAAGGUGGAAAGUCAGCCUGGGAAAUGAAUGGGAGUCCAGGCUCUGAACUGGAUGGUCUCGGGUUCAAAUUUUGGACAUUUGCCUGCUAGCUCUGCACCCAUGGAUAUUUUGAAUGAGUUAUGGAGUCUACUGGGAGAGAAUAUGGAUAAUCUUCUAAAUGAGAGAAAGGCAAAAAAAGGGGAUGGUCAAAACAUAUGUUUCUCUCCUUUGUAUAAUGAGAAAUAUUAGGUGUUUUCAUUUCUGAAGGUCUGAAAAUUAAUAAAUGGUCUAAUUUCCCAUCUUAAAUUCUAACUCAGUUUUUCCUAAUACCCAGGUCCCUCACGCUCUCAGGCAUGCUCAGGGCCUCAGGCAAAUUACGUCAGAGGAAAUUGCUGUUCACUUCAAGGAAAGUUUCAGAUCUUUCUGAGAAACAGCUUUCCUAUCUGUUAAGGACACAAUAAUGAUAUAUGGUGGUGAUACCAUUGCAAUGUAUAAAUGUAUCAAAUUAACACACUGUGCACCUUAAACUGACAUAUGUCAAUUAUACCUCAAUUAAAAAAUUAUAUACACGUUU